AAAUACCCGGUGGAAAACACGUGGCUCCAGGUCAAACAUUAACCUGCCUGGCAUGCUGGCCACAGUGUCCCUUCCCAGGCUACCUGGCCACCAACACGCAGCUGAUGGCGGUGUCCUCUCUCUCUGGCCACCAAUAAAAUUCUCAGACACACUCGCCCACAUGCUUUCAGCAGGGAUUCUUCAGAAAGCAAGCCCAGCUGUGCUUUAACCAGCGGUGGUCCCUGCCCUGUCCCCUGCAUCUAAGGCCCAGGGAGAAGAGCAUGAGGACAAGCAGGCAGCCCGGCAGCCCACGCAGGACCGAUACGGCCUUCAUGUCAAAGAAGACCAAAACAACGCCGAAGGAAG